GCUGGCGGCGUGCUUAACACAUGCAAGUCGAACGAAAAUACCAAGCUUGCUUGGUUGAUUAGUGGCGAACGGGUGAGUAACACGUGAGUAACCUGCCCCUUACUUUCCUGGAUAACUGCUCGAAAGGGUAGCUAAUACGGGAUAUUCUGACCAUCCUGCAUGGGUUGGUUUGGAAAGGUUGUUUUUUCUGGUAAGGGAUGGGCUCGCGGCCUAUCAGCUUGUUGGUGGGGUGAUGGCCUACCAAGGCUUUGACGGGUAGCCGGCCUGAGAGGGUGGACGGUCACACUGGGACUGAGAUACGGCCCAGACUCCUACGGGAGGCAGCAGUGGGGAAUAUUGCACAAUGGGCGCAAGCCUGAUGCAGCGACGCCGCGUGAGGGAUGAAGGCCUUCGGGUUGUAAACCUCUUUCGUCAGGGAACAAGGCACUGCUUUGGUGGUGUUGAGGGUACCUGGAUAAGAAGCGCCGGCUAACUACGUGCCAGCAGCCGCGGUAAUACGUAGGGCGCAAGCGUUGUCCGGAAUUAUUGGGCGUAAAGAGCUCGUGGGCGGCUGGUCGCGUCUGUCGUGAAAACUUCCGGCUCAACCGGGGGCUUGCGGUGGGUACGGGCCGGCUAGAGUGCGGUAGGGGUAACUGGAACUCCUGGUGUAGUGGUGGAAUGCGCAGAUAUCAGGAAGAACACCGAUGGCGAAGGCAGGUUACUGGGCCGUUACUGACGCUGAGGAGCGAAAGCGUGGGGAGCGAACAGGAUUAGAUACCCUGGUAGUCCACGCUGUAAACGUUGGGCACUAGGUGUGAGGCUCCUUUC
rnacentral:rRNA from 1 species